GUAGGCUGGUGAAGAGCUGAGUGGCCCAAGCACACCCAGGAGGAUCUGAGAAACAAAAGACUUCCGAAGUCCAGGCCCACUAGAAACACAGGAAACAGACACAACUACUGUGACAAGCGCCAGAUUGGGGAGAGAGGAAGCAGGGUGUGGAGAAGAUAUUUGCUAUGCAAGGAGAGUUUGUAAACAGCCAGAAAAGCCCCUCCUGGUCUUAACUGUUCUUCCAAGAGCUGCAAGUUCCUCAGCUGUAGAAGAGUCGCAACAAUGCAGAUGUCUACAGGAUGCUGUCAGAGCUAAUGAAGAGUGGGAGUACUGCCGGAGCUCUUCACAGGGCUGAGUCAAAACUAAGGCGCUCCAGGGAAAGUACCUGAGGACAAGGGACCAGAGCAAGACCUCGGAUGAUGUUGUAAUACAAAGAACUGGGGCACAUUUUUGCAAGAAUUGCCACAGCUGUACCCAAGAGUGCAAUGUCCAAUAGCUUUCUAUGGGACACCAAGAUGGCAUGGCUGCUACCCAAGAACCCUUGAUCAAGAGUACCUUAGCUCUCUUGCGCUCAGGUGUGCCAUGGGAUCUGACCAUGAAGGGGUUUAGCAGGGCAUCCAUGAACUGUAGAACCUGAUAAAUAUGGAGAUUAUCAAAGGAACCCAUGCAGGCAGUCAAACUGAAACUGCCAUGGAGCAUAACUUUACCACCAGUCAGCCUGGAAGUACUGCAGAGGGGAGGGCAGUGUGUGGGCAUUACCACAUUGCUACAUUUUCUAGGUAGUGGCUGGCUGCUGCCAUGGUGGACAGAGCUAGAAGCUUCUUAAGCUUGGUAUUUAACUCCUGCCCCACACCUGGUGUACUUACAGCAAAUGGCACAUGCACUAGAGUCUUAAUUUUAAUUCCUUUAAUAUAACAAAUCCCUCAACUGUUGGCUGUACUUGCUGCUUCCAUACCCCACUUUGAGAGGCUUCUUUCUCAUUCUCCAGAC